GAUGAACGCUGGCGGCGUGCUUAACACAUGCAAGUCGAACGAUGAAGCUCAGCUUGCUGGGUGGAUUAGUGGCGAACGGGUGAGUAACACGUGAGUAACCUGCCCUUAACUCUGGGAUAAGCCUGGGAAACUAGGUCUAAUACCGGAUAGGAGCGCCUACCGCAUGGUGGGUGUUGGAAAGAUUUAUCGGUUUUGGAUGGACUCGCGGCCUAUCAGCUUGUUGGUGAGGUAAUGGCUCACCAAGGCGACGACGGGUAGCCGGCCUGAGAGGGUGACCGGCCACACUGGGACUGAGACACGGCCCAGACUCCUACGGGAGGCAGCAGUGGGGAAUAUUGCACAAUGGGCGAAAGCCUGAUGCAGCGACGCCGCGUGAGGGAUGGCGGCCUUCGGGUUGUAAACCUCUUUCAGUAGGGAAGAAGCGAAAGUGACGGUACCUGCAGAAGAAGCACCGGCUAACUACGUG
rnacentral:rRNA from 1 species